UUGUUAUUAUAAAAUAAUACUAAAUUACUAUGUACUGUAAAUAUAUAAAAGUUAUUAAAAUUUCAUUAACAUAUUUUGUGACCUCUCUUUCCAAACAUCAAAUCAUUGUUCAUUACUUGACCACUGAAAAUACUGUAUGUUUAAUGUAGUGAUGGAUUGGUUCUGAGAAAAAUAUGAGAUAUAAAUUGAAACAUGUACAUUUUUAAAAAUGUUCCCCAAAAGUGACUGAAUUACUAUCAUCACCCCAGGACAACUACUUCUACAAAUCUAGUAUAUGUCAUCAUGAAUGUUUUAUUUUCAUUACUGGUGUUUAUUUAAAUAAUUGUUUUCUUUUCCUUUGAUCCCUGCUGAUCAGCAGAAGUUGGUAAAAAACCUCCAAUUUUCAAACCAUGAUGAUAGCAGUACGCACAUUAGUUGUAAUUUCAUGACCAUAUGCAGUACUCGACCAAUACAUCCGAUUCCUCAAAGGCACGAUACCUCUCACUUAAGAGAAUUAACUCUUCUUUGUCUAUAAAAAUA